rnacentral:rRNA from 1 species
AUUGAACGCUGGCGGCAUGCUUUACACGUGCAAGUCGAACGGGCCAGAGGGCAACUUCUGGUCAGUGGCGAACGGGUGAGUAAUACAUCGGAACGUACCUCGUAGGGGGGGAUAACGCCGCGAAAGCGGCGCUAAUACCGCAUAUGCUCUGAGGAGGAAAGCAGGGAACCGCAAGGCCUUGUGUUAUGAGAGCGGCCGCUGUCCGAUUAGCUAGUUGGUGGGGUAAUGGCCCACCAAGGCGACGAUCGGUAGCUGGUCUGAGAGGAUGAUCAGCCACACUGGGACUGAGACACGGCCCAGACUCCUACGGGAGGCAGCAGUGGGGAAUUUUGGACAAUGGGGGCAACCCUGAUCCAGCCAUGCCGCGUGCGGGAAGAAGGCCUUCGGGUUGUAAACCGCUUUUGGUCGGGAAGAAAAGGCACCGGAUAACACCUGGUGUUCUUGACGGUACUGACAGAAUAAGCACCGGCUAACUACGUGCCAGCCGCCGCGGUAAGAC